rnacentral:rRNA from 1 species
AACGAACGCUGGCGGCAUGCCUAACACAUGCAAGUCGAACGAGACCUUCGGGUCUAGUGGCGCACGGGUGCGUAACGCGUGGGAAUCUGCCCUUGGGUUCGGAAUAACAGUUAGAAAUGACUGCUAAUACCGGAUAAUGUCUUCGGACCAAAGAUUUAUCGCCCAGGGAUGAGCCCCGCGUAGGAUUAGCUAGUUGGUGGGGUAAAGGCCUACCAAGGCGACGAUCCUUAGCUGGUCUGAGAGGAUGAUCAGCCACACUGGGACUGAGACACGGCCCAGACUCCUACGGGAGGCAGCAGUGGGGAAUAUUGGACAAUGGGGCGAAAGCCUGAUCCAGC